CUGCCUGUCCUGCCUCUCAUGGAAACACACUGUCCUGGGCUUUAUAGGAAUCAAGCAGUUAUGUCCAGAGCCCCAGCUUCAUCUGCCCUCACUUUAUUGCCCUGCCUGGUCUUCUACUACUUUCUCCAAUAGUCAAGGGUAUCUUCUCCUCAUCUCCCAUAGACCAGGGCUUAGCUGAAGGAUCAGGACAGGCCUAGAGGGAGCCAUGCAGGGGAGGACGAGGACAGAAGUGAGGGAUUCUGGACCUAAGCUUCUCUCAAGAGAAGGUGAUCAACAGAACUCUGCUGACCAGCGGUUGGUGAUCAUUCGAUAUUCAUCGACAUCUAUUCCACUCAGCAGCAGGCACUUUGAGAGGCACUGGAGAUGAUCACACCUGGAGAACCUCAGCCUCUGCCUUCAAGGGGACACGAAAAUCCAUGAUGAAAUGCCAUGUGAUACGUGCUAUGAUUCCAACAUAUGACUCAGCCCUCCCAAUUUCAUGUCAUCUGAAAAUAUGGCAUACAUGCCUUCCAUGUCUUCAUCCAGGUCCAUGAUAAAAAUUGUCAAAGGAGAGAGAAAACUUUGGCACAGUACCAGAGAUCUUCAUCCAAACAAUCUCAAAUCGUUCAUCAGCUAUGAAUCUACCUAACAUGACAGGAUCCAGCCCACAUUUCUAUAUUAAUAUCACAAGACUCCAUCAAAUGCCUGAAAAAAUGAAGAAGGGCAACAUUCUAUGCAGGGAGGAAUAAUGAGAAAAAGAGCAGAGAAACAUGUGAUCUAUUUCUCAUAUGGAGAAUAUUCUCUCUGUAUUAAAAAAUU
rnacentral:lncRNA from 1 species